rnacentral:rRNA from 1 species
ACUGACGCUCAGGUGCGAAAGCUGGGGAGCAAACAGGAUUAAUACCCUGGUAUCCACGCCGUAAACGAUGUCGACUUGGAGGUUGUGCCCUUGAGGCGUGGCUUCCGGAGCUAACGCGUUAAGUCGACCGCCUGGGGAGUACGGCCGCAAGGUUAAAACUCAAAUGAAUUGACGGGGGCCCGCACAAGCGGUGGAGCAUGUGGUUUAAUUCGAUGCAACGCGAAGAACCUUACCUGGUCUUGACAUCCACGGAAGUUUUCAGAGAUGAGAAUGUGCCUUCGGGAACCGUGAGACAGGUGCUGCAUGGCUGUCGUCAGCUCGUGUUGUGAAAUGUUGGGUUAAGUCCCGCAACGAGCGCAACCCUUAUCCUUUGUUGCCAGCGGUCCGGCCGGGAACUCAAAGGAGACUGCCAGUGAUAAACUGGAGGAAGGUGGGGAUGACGUCAAGUCAUCAUGGCCCUUACGACCAGGGCUACACACGUGCUACAAUGGCGCAUACAAAGAGAAGCGACCUCGCGAGAGCAAGCGGACCUCAUAAAGUGCGUCGUAGUCCGGAUUGGAGUCUGCAACUCGACUCCAUGAAGUCGGAAUCGCUAGUAAUCGUGGAUCAGAAUGCCACGGUGAAUACGUUCCCGGGCCUUGUACACACCGCCCGUCACACCAUGGGAGUGGGUUGCAAAAGAAGUAGGUAGCUUAACCUUCGGGAGGGCGCUUACCACUUUGUGAUUCAUGACUGGGGUGAAGUCGUAACAAGGUAACCGUAGGGGAACCUGCGGUUG